AUGGGCGUGGCAUGUAGGGAAAAAAUUCUAGAUAGAACUAGGCCCAUGAUUAAACUUGAAUCUGAUUUUGUUGCGAAACAAAAGCAAUAUGAGGUUUUGGUUGUUGGGCUGGAAAAAACUGUGAUUACAAACUUGUUUUUUUCUUCUUUUUAUGGUGGUGUUGUGAUGCCGAUUUAUUUGGACGUACUCGUAUCCACGCACUAA